AGUCCUGUGGCUCAGUGGUGAGAGCACUCGCCUCGUACGCGAGAGGACCCGGGUUCGAUUCCCGGGCGGGGUGA